GAUAUUUUUGUUUAUCAGUUUAAAAAAAAAAAAAAAAAUCUACAGUCACACCACAGAUCUUUAAUAUUGAUCCACCUAACUUCUGUUUUGGAUGUUUAUUUUGCCUUUAUAAAGUACCAAUAAUAAAUUUCCCUGAACAUAGACAAGCACACCAGAGCAGGGAAUCCCAUAACUCCUCACUUACCGACCAAUUCAUUCUAUGACCGGGUCAUAGGGAUGGAGAGAGGGAAAAAUCAAAACAAAAAAGGAAAGACUGCACAGUUUUACAACUUUCAAGGCCCAGCAACAGAACCAUAGGUGGCUUUCCUUCUCCUCUCGUCCCACCACCUGUAAACUUGAUUCAAUACUUUCCCACCUUAUCAGAUCUCUCCCCCUUGUCUGGUAACAUCCUUAACACAUCCUAAACUCUUUCAUCUGGUGUACCUGCUCCCCUUUAGCAUGCUACGGUCAUACCCAUCCUAAAAAAAA